rnacentral:rRNA from 1 species
AUUGAACGCUGGCGGCAUGCCUUACACAUGCAAGUCGAACGGUAACGCGGGGCAACCUGGCGACGAGUGGCGAACGGGUGAGUAAUGUAUCGGAACGUGCCCAGUAGUGGGGGAUAGCCCGGCGAAAGCCGGAUUAAUACCGCAUACGACCUACGGGUGAAAGCGGGGGAUCGCAAGACCUCGCGCUAUUGGAGCGGCCGAUAUCAGAUUAGGUAGUUGGUGGGUAAAGGCCUACCAAGCCUACGAUCUGUAGCUGGUCUGAGAGGACGACCAGCCACACUGGGACUGAGACACGGCCCAGACUCCUACGGGAGGCAGCAGUGGGGAAUUUUGGACAAUGGGCGCAAGCCUGAUCCAGCCAUGCCGCGUGCGGGAAGAAGGCCUUCGGGUUGUAAACCGCUUUUGUCAGGGAAGAAACGCUCUGGGCUAAUACCCUGGGGUAAUGACGGUACCUGAAGAAUAAGCACCGGCUAACUACGUGCCAGCCGCCGCGGUAACAC